rnacentral:tRNA from 1 species
GGGGAUGUAGCUCAGUUGGUGGAGUACUUGCCUACCAUGCAUGAAGGUCUGGUUGCAAUCCCCAGCACCUCA